AGUGGUCCAAGACCAACAGCUGUAGCACUAGCUUCCAUCAUCAUAUCCACUUCUCUCUGAAGUCUGAAGCAUUGUAAUAAUGUAUUUUACUUUAUUUUCCGAAAGCACAAAAAAAAAAAAUCUUGACUGAUAGGAAAUUUAAGCUAGAGCUAUAACACAUUGGACAUGAUAUAAAAGUUAACACUUAUUUUAUCAAAAUAUCAGAACUUGGGAAUAUAAUAACCACCAGGGACAUCAAUUCCACGAAAACAAUAGAUCUUGAUCAGUAUUUCUCAAAAAAAAAAUUCAUUCUUUUUGUAUUUAAUCAAGAAAAACAGAAUAUGGAUAUGUCAGGAAUUGUAUGCAUAUAAAAUCAAACACACACAAACAUUUUCCAUCCCAUCUACUUAGACUCGUAAAGUACUCAACUAUAGAACAUAAUAGACAAUUCAAUUGGAAUAUGGCAUCGGAAAAGAAUUUGUUUAUGUUCUCCACAAGUUUAAACCACUUAAUUUGCAUAUUGAUGUUGCUUCUGCUCAUGAAAAUUGAGGAACUCAAAUCUAACAUGAAAUACUACUGAAAUGAGGAAUAUAUGAGGUGUUGGACAAUCUACUAAUUUAGCAGAAGAAUAGUAAAUGUUGAUUCAUCUUCUAUUGUGCCCACAGUAGGAUUCCAAGAGGGAAAGAUGGCAUAGGGACUCAAUGAACAUUAAUACUAUAGAGAAAACAAAUAUAAUAUGAUAAUAUAUGAAUACUCCAUUAUUAAAAAGAAUGAGAUAUGGUAAACGAGUAGACAUAUAAACCAACGAAAACAACAAUCCAUAUACAUGUCUUCAGUUUCUUUGUCUAAAGAAUAGAUGUUUGUAAUUUACAAUAAUUUGAAUGUGGAGAAAUGCCAUUGAUGAAAACAUGUGCUAGCCUGUCUAUAUUUUUCUGUGUGACCAUAAUCCUUAUAUGUAACUAAAAGAAAAAUAAUCGAAUAUUAAACAUAAUCCUUCUAUACUGAGAAAGGAGCAUUCCAAUAGUGUAUCCAAUACAUGUCCAAGAGCAUCACUAGAACCUUAAAUUGUACUUUAAAAUUUUGAAUAGCACUAUCUUUGAAGUCAAAGGCAUUAUCAUUUUGGAAGCUACAAUACCCAGAAAUAAGAUAAAAAUUCUCAAAGUAGCAAUAAUUGUCUGAGAAUGUUCUUAAUUUAAGAAGAAACUAGAAGAUCCCGUUCUAGUUAAAUAAUUGAAUACUAAAUGGGCAAGAUUCCAUGUUCCCAAACUAGUCUUUGCUACCACAAUUCUAUAUUAGAUGACUAAAAAUUAUAAUUUUACUUACAUGGGUAAAUAUAAUUUACAACACCAAUUAGACAAAGGUUUUCUUUCCUAAUUCCUAAUUAGUCCUUCUAAAGUAAACUAUAUGACAAACAAUUUCAAAAUUCAGUAAUAUCAAUAGCAUCAAGAAGACCCACCGAUCUUUAACACUGUUUUUCCAUUUCUCCCCAAAUUGGAAAGAUUAAAGGAUUUACAAAUUAUGGAUAUUGAAGCAGAUUUGGUGUCUAACAAAAUUAAGUGGUUGAUCCAUCUUUCUUCUGUAUACUUCAAGACAUUCUUGUUCAAGCUCCAGCAGCAUUUUAUCUCUAUCAGUAUCUGACUCCCCAACCUCAUUCCAGAUGACCUGCAACUCAUAAAGAAGGGAUCCACAGGUGGUUUCCACUUGCAGAAGCGGAUCAUUCUGAAUACCAGACAUGUCAAUACAACUCGUGCCUGAACAGUAGAGGUUCAAUGUAAAUUUUCUCGAAAAAAUUGAGCUUGUUCCCAGGAAAAUGCGAGAAAUAAGGUCUGAAUUUGAUGUCCAAUUGUGUGUUUGUGAGAGAGAGAGAGAAACGCUUAAGGAAAAAUGGACCGUUAGAACAGUGGGUGUUGAAGAUUUUGCAAUUCUGCUUCUUUUUAACGAUGGUGGGUUUGGAUUCCUUUGGAACCACAGAUGAUUUGAAUUUCAA
rnacentral:misc_RNA from 1 species